UCCGGGGGGAGCUCACCUGCCGCCACCGCCGCCUCGCCUCCGCGCGCGCUCCCUGAGGGCGCGGAGAUCGCGGAGCUUGCCGAGCUGAAAGAGAAAGAGAGAGAAUGGAAGAGAGAGAGGCGGACAAGAAGAAUAUUUGUUCGGCUGGGAAUGGGGAAUGAUAUCACGUGGGUGCCGGGGUCCACCACGUGGGUGCUAGCGCGAGUCGAUGGAGUCGACCGUGAGUUUAGAAACUCACGGUUGACUGUAGAAUCAGCUUUGCGUACCUCCACCGCAGGCCCAGCCUAUGGUCACAUCAACUAAGGCAACCGCCACAGUAGCUUCUGUGAGUGGUAUUGGGGAGGCGGAGAGAGUAGAAGUGUCUGCCGCCGACGAUAAGGAGAAGCUGCUGGAGAUGACCGAAAUCCCAUCAGGGCCGCAGGUGCCUGGGGCAGAAAAAUCUGCUGGCGCCGAACUUGGUAGAGUAGAUGUUGUCUCCGAUGUCGAGCAGAAAAUUCCUGAAAGUUGACAAGAAGAAACAAUGCUGCCGGCAGAGGGGACAAAAUUGUAUCAAGAAAAGAUACGUGAUUGUCAGAAGUUUUUGAAUGAACUAGCUGAACAAGCCGCUGCCAAGGCUUUGGAGCUUCAACAGGCUGGAGAAGGUCUGCGACUCUCCGUAGAUCAAGAGCAACGGCUCCAAGAGGUCGCCAGUCUUCGAGGAGAGCUGGAGAAGUUGAAAGCUGAGCACAGCAAAGAAGUCGAUCUACUGCAAAGGAAAUUGAAGGACCUUGCAAAGGAAAAAGGCGUCUCUUAUAGAGAAAUACAAAUCCCUGCAGGAGAGGACCAAAAAGAUGACCAAAGAUCACAAAGAUGAAGUGGAGAGGUUGUCCAAGAUAAAGGCUGAUCCAAAUGUGCAACUCGUCUAGAGUAUGCAGCAAAUCAAGGACUUGGCAGCUAAAAGAGACCUCCAGGUGAGAGAACUCACUGAUCUCAAGACUGCGGUGCAGACGGUGGUCGACCUGGUUGAAGGUGAAGGAGCCGGAAACAAAUCUUUAGUGGAGCGACUUAAUGAAGCCCCCUAGAAGAUUACUGGCUUCUUAUCGGAGAUGUCAAGGCAAUACGUGGCGCAUGUCCUAGGGUUGGUGAAGUUGUACUGGCCUGGGGAGAACUUGACUCCACUUGGCGAUAGGCUAUCCAUAGAGUGCUCGGAUGAAAGGUUCGCCGAGUACCUAGAUGAAGCGAAGCCCAUUGCCGAUAAGAUUGUAGAAAGCUUAUAACAAACAUCUGAUGUUGAGGUAUGAUCGUGGAUCAUUUGUGAACAUGUUCUUGUUUACUCCUACGUUACU